rnacentral:rRNA from 1 species
GUGGGGAAUAUUGGACAAUGGGCGCAAGCCUGAUCCAGCCAUACCGCGUGGGUGAAGAAGGCCUUCGGGUUGUAAAGCCCUUUUGUUGGGAAAGAAAUCCUGUCGAUUAAUACUCGGUGGGGAUGACGGUACCCAAAGAAUAAGCACCGGCUAACUUCGUGCCAGCAGCCGCGGUAAUACGAAGGGUGCAAGCGUUACUCGGAAUUACUGGGCGUAAAGCGUGCGUAGGUGGUUGUUUAAGUCUGCUGUGAAAGCCCUGGGCUCAACCUGGGAAUUGCAGUGGAUACUGGGCAACUAGAGUGUGGUAGAGGGAUGCGGAAUUUCUGGUGUAGCAGUGAAAUGCGUAGAGAUCAGAAGGAACAUCCGUGGCGAAGGCGGCAUCCUGGGCCAACACUGACACUGAGGCACGAAAGCGUGGGGAGCAAACAGGAUUAGAUACCCUUGUAGUCC